AAAGCAGGGGAUCUUCGGACCUUGCGCUAUUAGAUGAGCCUAAGUCGGAUUAGCUAGUUGGUGGGGUAAAGGCCUACCAGGGCGACGAUCUGUAGCGGGUCUGAGAGGAUGAUCCGCCACACUGGGACUGAGACACGGCCCAAACUCCUACGGGAGGCAGCAGUGGGGAAUAUUGGACAAUGGGGGGAACCCUGAUCCAGCCAUGCCGCGUGUGUGAAGAAGGCCUUUUGGUUGUAAAGCACUUUAAGCGAGGAGGAGGCUUACCUGGUUAAUACCUGGGAUAAGUGGACGUUACUCCCAGAAUAAGCACCGGCUAACUCUGUGCCAGCAGCCGCGGUAAUACAGAGGGUGCAAGCGUUAAUCGGAUUUACUGGGCGUAAAGCGCGCGUAGGUGGCUAAUUAAGUCAAAUGUGAAAUCCCCGAGCUUAACUUGGGAAUUGCAUUCGAUACUGGUUAGCUAGAGUAUGGGAGAGGAUGGUAGAAUUCCAGGUGUAGCGGUGAAAUGCGUAGAGAUCUGGAGGAAUACCGAUGGCGAAGGCAGCCAUCUGGCCUAAUACUGACACUGAGGUGCGAAAGCAUGGGGAGCAAACAGGAUUAGAUACCCUGGUAGUCCAUGCCGUAAACGAUGUCUACUAGCCGUUGGGGCCCUUGAGGCUUUAGUGGCGCAGCUAACGCGAUAAGUAGACCGCCUGGGGAGUACGGUCGCAAGACUAAAACUCAAAUGAAUUGACGGGGGCCCGCACAAGCGGUGGAGCAUGUGGUUUAAUUCGAUGCAACGCGAAGAACCUUACCUGGCCUUGACAUACAGAGAACUUUCCAGAGAUGGAUUGGUGCCUUCGGGAACUCUGAUACAGGUGCUGCAUGGCUGUCGUCAGCUCGUGUCGUGAGAUGUUGGGUUAAGUCCCGCAACGAGCGCAACCCUUUUCCUUAUUUGCCAGCACUUYGGGUGGGAACUUUAAGGAUACUGCCAGUGACAAACUGGAGGAAGGCGGGGACGACGUCAAGUCAUCAUGGCCCUUACGGCCAGGGCUACACACGUGCUACAAUGGUCGGUACAAAGGGUUGCUACUGCGCGAGCAGAUGCUAAUCUCAAAAAGCCGAUCGUAGUCCGGAUCGCAGUCUGCAACUCGACUGCGUGAAGUCGGAAUCGCUAGUAAUCGCGGAUCAGAAUGCCGCGGUGAAUACGUUCCCGGGCCUUGUACACACCGCCC
rnacentral:rRNA from 1 species